GCCGGAAUAGCUCAGUUGGUAGAGCAGC
rnacentral:tRNA from 1 species